rnacentral:rRNA from 1 species
UACAGAGGGUGCGAGCGUUAAUCGGAAUUACUGGGCGUAAAGCGCACGUAGGUGGCGACGUAAGUCGGGUGUGAAAGCCCCGGGCUCAACCUGGGAAUUGCACUGGAUACUGGCGGGCUAGAGUGCGGUAGAGGAUGGCGGAAUUCCCGGUGUAGCAGUGAAAUGCGUAGAGAUCGGGAGGAACAUCUGUGGCGAAGGCGGCCAUCUGGACCAGCACUGACACUGAGGCACGAAAGCGUGGGGAGCAAACCGG